UAACACAUGCAAGUCGAGGGGCAGCACAGGUAUCAAUACCGGGUGGCGACCGGCGCACGGGUGAGUAACGCGUAUGCAACUUGCCUAUCAGAGGGGGAUAACCCGGCGAAAGUCGGACUAAUACCGCAUGAAGCAGGGAUCCCGCAUGGGAAUAUUUGCUAAAGAUUCAUCGCUGAUAGAUAGGCAUGCGUUCCAUUAGGCAGUUGGCGGGGUAACGGCCCACCAAACCGACGAUGGAUAGGGGUUCUGAGAGGAAGGUCCCCCACAUUGGUACUGAGACACGGACCAAACUCCUACGGGAGGCAGCAGUGAGGAAUAUUGGUCAAUGGCCGAGAGGCUGAACCAGCCAAGUCGCGUGAGGGAUGAAGGUUCUAUGGAUCGUAAACCUCUUUUAUAAGGGAAUAAAGUGCGGGACGUGUCCCGUUUUGUAUGUACCUUAUGAAUAAGGAUCGGCUAACUCCGUGCCAGCAGCCGCGGUAAUACGGAGGAUCCGAGCGUUAUCCGGAUUUAUUGGGUUUAAAGGGUGCGUAGGCGGCCUUUUAAGUCAGCGGUGAAAGUCUGUGGCUCAACCAUAGAAUUGCCGUUGAAACUGGGGGGCUUGAGUAUGUUUGAGGCAGGCGGAAUGCGUGGUGUAGCGGUGAAAUGCAUAGAUAUCACGCAGAAACCCCGAUUGCGAAGGCAGCCUGCCAAGCCAUGACUGACGCUGAUGCACGAAAGCGUGGGGAUCAAACAGGAUUAGAUACCCUGGUAGUCCACGCAGUAAACGAUGAUCACUAGCUGUUUGCGAUACACUGUAAGCGGCACAGCGAAAGCGUUAAGUGAUCCACCUGGGGAGUACGCCGGCAACGGUGAAACUCAAAGGAAUUGACGGGGGCCCGCACAAGCGGAGGAACAUGUGGUUUAAUUCGAUGAUACGCGAGGAACCUUACCCGGGUUUGAACGCAUUCGGACCGAGGUGGAAACACCUUUUCUAGCAAUAGCCGUUUGCGAGGUGCUGCAUGGUUGUCGUCAGCUCGUGCCGUGAGGUGUCGGCUUAAGUGCCAUAACGAGCGCAACCCUUGCCACUAGUUACUAACAGGUAAAGCUGAGGACUCUGGUGGGACUGCCAGCGUAAGCUGCGAGGAAGGCGGGGAUGACGUCAAAUCAGCACGGCCCUUACAUCCGGGGCGACACACGUGUUACAAUGGCGUGGACAAAGGGAAGCCACCUGGCGACAGGGAGCGAAUCCCCAAACCACGUCUCAGUUCGGAUCGGAGUCUGCAACCCGACUCCGUGAAGCUGGAUUCGCUAGUAAUCGCGCAUCAGCCAUGGCGCGGUGAAUACGUUCCCGGGCCUUGUACACACCGCCCGUCAAGCCAUGGGAGCCGGGGGUACCUGAAGUCCGUAAACGCGAGGAUCGGCCUAGGGUAAAACUGGUGACUGGGGCUA
rnacentral:rRNA from 1 species